rfam:Otolemur garnettii contig080677, whole genome shotgun sequence.
GGGCCUGUAGCUCAAAAGUGUAGGGUGCUGGCCCCAUAUGCCAGAGGCAGUGGGUUCAAACCCAGCCCCGGCCA